UGGGGGCCCUACGGGAGGCAGCAGUGGGGAAUUUUGGACAAUGGGCGCAAGCCUGAUCCAGCAAUGCCGCGUGAGUGAAGAAGGCCUUCGGGUUGUAAAGCUCUUUUGUCAGGGAAGAAACGGCUGAGGAUAAUACCUUCGGCUAAUGACGGUACCUGAAGAAUAAGCACCGGCUAACUACGUGCCAGCAGCCGCGGUAAUACGUAGGGUGCAAGCGUUAAUCGGAAUUACUGGGCGUAAAGCGUGCGCAGGCGGUUUUGUAAGUCUGUCGUGAAAGCCCCGGGCUCAACCUGGGAAUUGCGAUGGAGACUGCAAGGCUUGAAUCUGGCAGAGGGGGGUAGAAUUCCACGUGUAGCAGUGAAAUGCGUAGAGAUGUGGAGGAACACCGAUGGCGAAGGCAGCCCCCUGGGUCAAGAUUGACGCUCAUGCACGAAAGCGUGGGGAGCAAACAGGAUUAGAUACCCUGGUAGUCCACGCCCUAAACGAUGUCUACUAGUUGUCGGGUUUUAAUUAACUUGGUAACGCAGCUAACGCGUGAAGUAGACCGCCGCUA
rnacentral:rRNA from 1 species